AUCCCAUGACGAGGACAGGCGUGAAUGUACUCCUGAAAACAUUCCCAGGCUUCAGGAAUCGUCUCAUCAGCCUAUUGCUGGAAGCUUGAGAUCUUCCCCCGUAGGGC
rfam:Sorghum bicolor cultivar BTx623 chromosome 2, whole genome shotgun sequence.